rnacentral:lncRNA from 1 species
UGUCAGAAUGGUGUCUUCUGGCUAUUCCUACAUUUUGUAUUUUACUAUUCUGGCUAUUCCUACAUGGGGGAUUAGUGGAAGAACAAUACAUGUUUUUAUUGCAAAAUAUGUUGUUUUAGUCAUUAGUGUCUAAUUAGGUCAAAGGUAAAUUUACCUGUGGAAAUUAAAUAAAAAUCAUUAUUCAUAUGUAAAAAUGAGACUUUUUUGUUUGAAAACAUGCAUAAAGUAAUAAUUUUAAAGUAUUUUAGUACCAUGGAAUUUCUAAAAAAUAAAACUAAUUGAAAGAAAAGGAAGUAAAAGCAUUGGAAAAAUAAAAAAAAACUGAAAGAUAAAGGAGUAAAAGCAUUUAAAUGUUUAGAAAGUCUAAAAAAAAAAAGUAUUUUAAAAGAAAAUUAAUAGUUACCUACACUUUAUAACUUCAGCCUCAAAUAUACAAAGGAGAUGUGGUAUGAUUGCCAAUGAGACAACUGUCCACAAGAGACCAUAAGUGAUUUACUAUGCGGCUAUAUAUAUAUAUAUGAUAGUCCGUCGGAAGGGGACGAUAAAUGGCUGACCCGUGUUAAGAGAGAGCCAUAUCUCUUGCACGUUAAAGACACCCUUGUAGAUUUCGAAAAAAGAGCAGACUAAUGCCGCUACAAGGCAGCACUCGCACCCG